rnacentral:rRNA from 1 species
AUUAGAGUUUGAUUAUGGCUCAGAAUGAAGUAGGUGGCGUGCUUUACACAUGCAAGUCGAGCGGAGUCAGACCCGAAGGGCAACCGGAGGGACUGGCUCAGCGGCAAACGGGUGAGUAAUGGACAGGUAACGUACCCCCUAGACGUGCCCUCGCUUAUCGAAAGAUGAGAUAAUACGCGAUAAUGUUGCAGGGCGAUGGCUCUGCAAAGAAAGCGGGCGCAAGCUCGCGCUUCCGGAUCGGCCUGUCUCCUAUCAGCUUGUUGGUGGGGUAAUAGCCUACCAAGGCGAUGACGGGUAGCUGGUCUUAGAGGAUGGUCAGCCACAUUGGAACUGCGAUACGGUCCAGACUCCUACGGGAGGCAGCAGUGGGGAAUCAUGGUCAAUGGGCGAAAGCCUGAACCUGCGACGCCGCGUGAGUGAUGAAGGUCGUAAGAUCGUAAAACUCUUUUCAGGGACAUUAAAGCUCCGGCUCUAACAUAGCCUGGAGUCUGACUAUCCCUGGAAUAAGCCCCAGCCAACUACGUGCCAGCAGCUGCGGUAAUACGUAGGGGGCGAGCGUUAUUCGGAAUUACUGGGUGUAAAGGGUAUGUAGGCGGCCUGACAAGUCGCGUGUCAAAGUCCAGCGCUCAACGCUGGGUUCGCACGCGAUACUGUCAGGCUUGAGGACUGGAGAGGUGAGCGGAAUUCCCGGUGUAGUGGUAAAAUACGUAGAUAUCGGGAGGAACACCAGCGGCGUAGGCGGCUCACUAGACAGUUUCUGACGCUAAGAUACGAAAGCGUGGGGAGCAAACAGGAUUAGAUACCCUGGUAGUCCACGCCCUAAAACGAUGGAUACUUUGGUGUUGGGGGGUUACCUUCAGUGCCGGAGGCUAACGCGUUAAGUAUCCCACCUGGGGACUACGGCCGCAAGGCUAAAACUCAAAGGAAUUGACGGGGGCCCGCACAAGCAGCGAGGUAUGUGGUUUUAAUUCGACGCUACGCGAAGAACCUUACCUGGGCUUGACAUGCUUGAGAAAGAGCCAAGAAACUGGCUCCCCCAUGACCGCAAGGUCAUGGGUCAUCCACAGGUGCUGCAUGGUUGUCGUCAGCUCGUGUCGUGAGAUGUAAGGUUAAGUCCUUGAACGAGCGCAACCCCUAUUACUAGUUGCUAACCAGUAAUGGCGCACCCUAGCGAUACUGCCAGCUAAAAGUUGGAGGAAGGAGGGGAUGACGUCAAAUCCUCAUGGCCUUUAUGUCCAGGGCUACACACAUGCGACAAUGGUCGGUACAACGGGUCGCAACACCGCGAGGUGAAGCCAAUCUCUAAAAACCGACCUCAGUUCAGAUUGCAGGCUGCAAUUCGCCUGCAUGAAGAUGGAGUUGUUAGUAACCGCGGGUCAGCUACACCUCGGUGAAUAGAAUCCCGGGCCUUGUACACACCGCCCGUCAAACCACCCGAGUCUGUUGCACCCGAAGUUGCCCGUUGGGUGACGAAGAUGUGGCCGGUAAGGAGGGUUAAGUCGUAACAAGGUAGGUGUGUCGAAACGUGCGCCUGGAUCACCUCCUUUAUGAAU